ACAAUGAAGAGUUUGAUCCUGGCUCAGGAUGAACGCUAGCUACAGGCUUAACACAUGCAAGUCGAGGGGCAUCAGGAAGAAAGCUUGCUUUCUUUGCUGGCGACCGGCGCACGGGUGAGUAACACGUAUCCAACCUGCCCUUUACUCGGGGAUAGCCUUUCGAAAGAAAGAUUAAUACCCGAUGGGAUAAUGAUUCCGCAUGGUUUCAUUAUUAAAGGAUUCCGGUAAAGGAUGGGGAUGCGUUCCAUUAGGUUGUUGGUGAGGUAACGGCUCACCAAGCCUUCGAUGGAUAGGGGUUCUGAGAGGAAGG
rnacentral:rRNA from 1 species